CCCGAGACCUCUCUCUUCUUCAUCUCUCUCUCUGUACUCUCUCUCUCAGCUCUCCCGUAUCUCUCUCUCUCAACCUCUUGCCUCACUCUCUUCUCCUGGACACACACCACGACCCUGUCACCAUCAAGGGAGGCUCGCAACCAACCCAGGACCUCUUCCUUGUGAGUUCGACGGCACGGGAGCAAAAGCUCCGGCGAACCCUCCCCUUUUUCUGUUUGGUUGCACCUUGGAAUCGAGUUGGGUUAAGCAAGCCCAUUCUUCAGCGCGAACCCGUGCGCUUUGAGGGGAUUUCCGGUCACCUCCGACUGUGUCAUGGCUAUUCGAGGGUAAAGUUGAUAGUGGAGAAAUUCUUAAUCCUUAUCCGCUCGACUCUUCUGCUAAAGAAUAUUUAGGACACUAUGCCGCCUGUGGCGAAGAUCUGGUGUUGGCAUUUGGGUCGGGAGUUGGUAAUCUCUAGCUACGGGCACAGAGACCACGAAGCAGGCAUUGGGCCAAGAGUUGGUAAUCUUUGGUUACGGGCGCAGAGACCACGGAACAGGUCAUAGAAACGAGGACUACGACUCGACGUAUGAGGCAUUCCCCUACCAGUAGCAAUCUAUCAUCCACUUGUGUGAUAUCUUGUAACGAUCUUUCCUUUUUUGUAAAUCUCGAAUUUGUUGUGUUAUGUGCACUCUAGACACUUCCUUAAACCUUGUGUUUUAUUUCGAGAUUUUAAUGUUUAUUCAUGAAUAUUUUCUCCUAAUCAUUACUCUUGUAAUCAACUAAUGACUUUCGUCACCUGUGGGUGUCGGCCAACACGUAUCUAUCCUGGUAUUCGGGGAAUAUCAGAGUCGGGGUGUGUCAAAAGGGUUUGAGAAAGCCCGUCUCCUCGGCCCAAUUUGCUUGGAUAAGAAUCCUAACCAAACGCAAUUGCUUGGAAGCCAAGUUAAGGUCUAUCAUGCUUCUAGGGUUCUACCAUUACAAUUACAUUCAAAGCAAGCACUAAAGAACUGAGCAGCCAAAAGGUUCCAAUCUAGUGCGUACGCUUUCUCUCUCUUUAAUUUACUCGUAUAAUUUGAUUUUGAAUUGGAUAACUAGACAUGUUUGAGAAGAAGGAGAGAAGGGGAAGCGACAUCAACCAAUUCAAAAUGGCGCCGCAGGAGAUGAAUGAGGACUUCGAUCUUCCCAGCGAGGAGAAGGAAAUUGGCAGGCAGGGCCUGGAGAAGAAGAAGAAGAAGAAGCGAAGGUUCACUGAAAACUUUGGUGUCAUGGCGUGAAGUUCUGGAACUGCUACAGUUGUGGAGGGAUGUUGGCAGACACCCUUUGGAUUUCAGGGAGAAUAUCGUACGUCGCCUCGACUUGCUUGAUCUGAUUCGCUUAAGCGUCCUCUGCAAGUACUGGAGUUCAAUUGCUAUGCGAAGGGACAUCCGCAGUACUGCUCCACCAUUUCCCUGGUUAGUACUCGCUCAACGUAGUUCCGACUACUUAGAGUUCUCCAUCCCAUCUGAGGGUAAAGUUAUCAAGAUAGAUUUGCCUAAGCGAAAUCAAGGGCGGUUUCAUAGUUCCUCCAAAGGUUGGUUGAAUAUGGUGAAGGGAAAAUCCAUAUUUCUACUAAACCCUAUUUCAGGAGACAAGCAAGAACUUCCUUCCUUGAGAAAUAUCCCAUCUCUCCACAGAAUGUACGGUGGAAAACCUGCUCAAUUUCUUCAUGAAAUUGCACUAUCCGGUUCAAAUACCUCAGAAUGUACGGUGGCAGCGAUUUUUUCUUCUAAGGAAAUUGGUGUGUGCAGGCCGGGAGAAAAAAGUUGGAGCAUCUUCUCGAUGUUGGAUGAUAGAAAAGGUUCUCCUUUACAACUAUUGUUUUCGUCUUGUGGCAUGCUAUACGUAUUGGUAAAAAAACAAUGAGAUUGAGAAUGGAGGUGCUUUAACUCGCAUGUUACGCUUCGGAGAUGGUGAUGAGCUGCAACUGAAGUUGGUUUCCAAGGGAGGGGUCUGAAUGCCUUCUUGAGGAUCAUCAUCGAGGACAAGUCAUAUUUGGUAGAAUCAACAACCAGCAAUGAAGUCUUGUUGAUUCAUCAGUUUAAAAAUCAAGAAGUGACUGAUUGCGGUCAAAAAACAAGGACUCUUGAUUUCUUAGUUUACAAGAUUGAUCCGGAGAAUGACAAAAGCUUUAUCGAGUUACAGAGUUUGGGAAACCAAAUAUUAUUUGUAUCAAGCCGAGGUUGCUCGUUGUCCUUUCCAGCGAGUAAUUCCAAAGGGUUGAAAGUGAAGUGCAUUCAUUUUGUGGAGUUAAGAGUAGGGCACACCUUGUUUGGCCUUGACUAUCGUUCUGGUACUGGUACAAGCCGCUUCUUCUACUUAGAUGGUCGGAAAUCUGAAAAUUCUGUAAAUUCAGAAAUGUGGGGACUGAGUUGGUGGAGUCCAACAAGUUUAUGGUAGCUUAGAGUUCUUCCUUUCUGUUUCAGUGCAUGCAGUGCUUCUUCUUUCUUUGUUUUGCAAAGAGUUAUAUUACUCCAACAAUUGUACUAGUUAAUCUCAAGUUCCUAAUUUUAUGAUGUUCCAGUGGCUUGGUGAGCCAAAAUUUGUACCUCAUAUAGAAAUAUAGCCAUGAUUUUUCCGAUGUUGGAUGAUAGAAAAGAGUCUCCUUUAUCCCUA